GAUUCACAGGACAGCAAUCUCCCGUUCCCCAUUCUCUCCCACGACAAACCCUAGCCGCCGGCCGCCGCUGUGGCCCGAUGCCACUCUCCCCGUGAGACCGUGAUGACGGCCGCACCAAGGUGCCGCGCGCCCUGAUCGAUGAAUCCCGACGCCCCGAGCCGCCCUCAGGACCGGUGACGACCACGACCAGCAUCCAAGCCGUCAACCGUCGUGCCCCGUGCAUCGCGCUAUGCGUCGCUCCAUUGCCUGUGACGCGGCCAUCCAUCCCCGACCACCAUCUAAGCUGGAGUUCUUCACCAUCUUGUCCUCUUCCAUGCUGGUCGCCGGUUGGCCGCCUACUGUCCUUUUCAGUGCUCCACCUCGCAUCUAAAGGUAAAACUCAGCAAGAAGGCAUGCUCCUCCGUCUUAGGAUUUCAUCAUUCCACAAAGCCCCGUCCGCGUCAUUGCAUAGCGGAGGUCUGAGAUUCUUAUGCCCUUGAUUGCUGAGAUGUGGCCGGCGAUUGAGAACCUAGAAGAGUCCAGCAGCAAUAUGUCGCCGAACGAUGGCUGGGCAGUUGUAGUCAUUGGCAGUGAGGAGCAUCGGUAAUGGCUGGCUGCUGCUGCCCUCGACACUGAUGUUCAGGUGGAUAUGCAAGUAUAAUGUACGCACAUGAUCAAUCUAUGUCCAUAUCGUCAACAUUAUAAGCAUUAGUGGACCGUAUAUGCUUUUGCAUGAUUGAGCCAUCUCAGCUAAGCAAUGAAGCAAAAGUUCAGGUGCUCAUUGCUAAGCCACAUGCAGACUUGAGUAUGAAAAGCAACUGAUCAUCAACUACCUACAGAAUGUACUGCACCCGCGAGGAAUAUACUGGCCGUCUCGAUGUCUGGUAGCAGUCCAGGGCGGCUGCUGUUUCAGUUGGUAGUAGGGGUGCUGUCAGCAGUAUAUAUAGUGCUGAUUUUCUAUUUUAAGAUCUUCAUGUGAAUCUUGUUGCUGGUGAAGUGGUGAUUAUAUAUACUUCUGAUUUUCU